rnacentral:rRNA from 1 species
UACGAAGGGGGCUAGCGUUGCUCGGAAUCACUGGGCGUAAAGGGUGCGUAGGCGGGUCUUUUAAGUCAGGGGUGAAAUCCUGGAGCUCAACUCCAGAACUGCCUUUGAUACUGAAGAUCUUGAGUUCGGGAGAGGUGAGUGGAACUGCGAGUGUAGAGGUGAAAUUCGUAGAUAUCGCAAGAACACCAGUGGCGAAGGCGGCUCACUGGCCCGAUACUGACGCUGAGGCACGAAAAGCGUGGGGGAGCAAACAGGG